AGUGAACGCUGGCGGCAGGCCUAACACAUGCAAGUCGAACGGCAGCACAGUGAGAGCUCGCUGUUACGGGUGGCGACGGGCGGAUGGGUGAGGGAUACAUCGCAAGCUACGGGUGCUUGGGUGAGAACGUGGGGAAACAUACGCUAAUAGCGCAUAGGGACAACGGGUGGGAGCAGGGGAUCUCCGGAUCUUGGGUGAUACUAGGAGGCGAUGUCGCAUUAGCUAGUUGGCGGGGUAAAGGCCCACCAAGGCGACGAUACGUAGCUGGUCUGAGAGGAUGAUCAGCCACACUGGAACUGAGACACGGUCCAGACUCCUACGGGAGGCAGCAGUGGGGAAUAUUGGACAAUGGGCGAAAGCCUGAUCCAGCCAUGCCGCGUGAGUGAAGAAGGCCUUCGGAUUGUAAAGCCCUUUUAUUAGGGAAGAAAAGCAGUAUGUUAAUACCUCGCUGUUUUGACGGUACCUAAAGAAUAAGCACCGGCUAACUUCGUG
rnacentral:rRNA from 1 species